rnacentral:rRNA from 1 species
UACAGAGGGGGCAAGCGUUGUUCGGAAUUACUGGGCGUAAAGGGCGCGUAGGCGGUCGUGACAAGUCACUUGUGAAAUCUCCGGGCUUAACUCGGAACGGUCAAGUGAUACUGUCGGACUAGAGUACAGAAGGGGCAACUGGAAUUCUCGGUGUAGCGGUGAAAUGCGUAGAUAUCGAGAGGAACACCUGCGGCGAAGGCGGGUUGCUGGGCUGAUACUGACGCUGAGGCGCGAAAGCCAGGGGAGCGAACGGG